GAAUAGUACAGGCUGCAGGAAGUGAGCAGCACUUUAACUGUCUGUGGUCAGGGUGGCACUCCUCUGAAAUUAGGCAGCUUCACCCACAGCCGCGCCCGCUACUCCUCUGCACAAAAGAGCCAAGCAGGGGCACCUCACAGUACCCGCUUUGGGACCCCAGAGCUAUGAUACUUUCACAAAGACAACUACGCCUGUGUGCUCCUUACAUCUUCUGCAAAAGCCGAUGCAGUCAUGCUCCAAACAACCUCAACAGUAUUUUUGUAAGCUCUUCUCUCUGCCUAAGGUACAAAAUUUAGUUACUUCAGUUCUGCUUAUUAAUGCCAGUUUACAGGGGUUACAAUAUCUAUCAGAAGCGAAAAUCUAUUUAGAAUUUCUAUAAUUUCAUGUAACCUGUUUAACUCAUUAGACAGGGAAAGCAAAAAAUUAAAGACAUAUGUUACAGGAAAUGGGAAUCUAAAUCUUACAUACACAUAUAUUGUUUAGAUGCCCUACUGGCGGACAUCUUUAACUGUUUUAAGCUACACUUGUAUGUUGUCUAAUCUGUGUUUGUCAUUUGUCCGGUUAUGUAUUGUGUAUGCACUGACGCUUUUACACAAAUGAAGUUCCUAACGCAUACAUAAAGUUAUUUUGAAUUUGAAUUUGGUUCAGAGAUUCUAGGCUGAGCAGAAUCUUUUUACAUUUGUUUUUAACACACAUCUGCUGUGAAAUGUAUAGCAUACGAUUGUGAAAUAUAGAGCAUAGGAUUAAUCUGAAGUUCCUGUUCAUGCUCAGCUCUGCAACAGAGAUGAGUAGAGUUAUUUGGCUUUAUGACAUGCACAGAACUGUAAAUGAACUGCAUUUACUGGUGUGCUCUAUUCCUGAAGAAUAGAUUUUGCCAUCAUUUCAACUUUUGUGAAACUAAAUUUUA